CCUAGGGUGGCUGCAGUGGGGAAUAUUGGACAAUGGGCGAAAGCCUGAUCCAGCCAUGCCGCGUGUGUGAAGAAGGCCUUCGGGUUGUAAAGCACUUUCAGUGGGGAAGAAAGCCUUGGGGCUAAUACCCUCGAGGAAGGACAUCACCCACAGAAGAAGCACCGGCUAACUCCGUGCCAGCAGCCGCGGUAAUACGGAGGGUGCGAGCGUUAAUCGGAAUUACUGGGCGUAAAGCGCGCGUAGGCGGUCUGAUAAGCCGGUUGUGAAAGCCCCGGGCUCAACCUGGGAACGGCAUCCGGAACUGUCAGGCUAGAGUGCAGGAGAGGAAGGUAGAAUUCCCGGUGUAGCGGUGAAAUGCGUAGAGAUCGGGAGGAAUACCAGUGGCGAAGGCGGCCUUCUGGACUGACACUGACGCUGAGGUGCGAAAGCGUGGGUAGCAAACAGGAUUAGAUACCCUUGUAGUC
rnacentral:rRNA from 1 species